CAGGAUGCACACUCACAUCCAAUAACAUGCAGUUUAAAAUGAUUUAAUUGACAAAUUCUUGUGAUUUACAUUUCAGUAAUCAACUGCAAAAGUGAGGAAGUAAUUCAUGGGCCUGUAGUGCUUUUGAAAAUAACUAAGUCUUUUUAAAAACUCAAUUUAGUAAGUAGAAAAUAUAAAUGAACAAAUUUAAUUUUUCCAGAUAAUAAAGGAAGUUAUUCGGCAUUUUUCCCAGUUACGCAAAGACAAUUAUCACGUGAAAAAUUUAUAGAAUGUAAGCAGUAAGAGAGUAUUAUGCAAAAAUAUCCUAAGGUAAUUUCAGUAUAAAUUAUAGGACCACAUUUAUUAAUAAUAUACGUUAUGAGAACAAUCAUUUGCAGUCUCACUGUGAAGGCAAAAAAAAAAAAAACAAAAACCAAAACCCAAAGGAUAAACAGAAAUAGCACAGUCCACCGAAUACACUGCAUGGUGUUUAUAACUGUAUAACCAAACUAAGUAAUCUUUCCCCUCUCUUUAACUUUUAUGCACCACCUGCCAUUCUAGAUACUAUCAAUCACACUAAAUAAUAAUAAAAACCAACCACCUUCAAUCUGAUCAUUCUGGGCAGGAAACUGAAUACAGUUUUGACCAGAUCUUCGAGAAAGAUUCAUAUACACGAAAUUAACUAGUUCUGUUAAAAGGCUGCUAUAAAAAUACCAUCAUUACGAGCUAUACAGAACUUUAGAAUCCAGCUAAGAGUGCAGAAAUACUGAAUUUCUUAAUUUAUGUGGAGGGGGCUGUAAACCCAAAGGUAAGUCCGCUCCCGGCCGCCGCUCCUUUGUUUUGGUCCCACUUCCUGUUUCUACUGUGAGCGGCGCAGGUGGUGACGUCAGAGCCCAGCGCCAAAGGCGGAGCCUGCGGGACGGAAGGCGCCGGGGUGGGGCCUGUGGGACGUAAGACGCCAGGGGCUGCGCAUGCAGGGGGAUUCUGGCUGGACGCUCCGGCGCUGCGGCGGGGAACGCUCGCUUCCUGCGCUGCGUUCUACCCGGUUUUUAAAAUUCUAACGCAUUAGUCAAUUCACAAAAAUUAGUGCCCCCACGCACUUUCCUAGUAAUAAAUCUACCGAAGUAGACAGGAUCUGUGGAGACCCGCGUGUAAAAUUACCCACGCUCCAAACUUGGCAGGCUUUAUAAAGGGUGACUGGCUAGCGGGCUAAAAACCAGCCAAACAUCAGCUAGGUCUUCGCACUAACGCUUGCUUUAUUAGCAUGGGUAAUUUCCACUUUCUCAGGGGAACUGGAAACCAUGGAUACAUUAAAAACAAAAACAUUAAAACACAUUAAAAACAAACGGGUCAUUGACGCGUCUCCAUCUUUGACUACAAUUUGUGCUAGAGUUCUGUAAUAUCCUUUUAUUGCAUUGAGUGAAAAUAAUCUUCAAAACUGUGGCACCACCAAAUUUAUACUUUGUCUGGAAGUUCAGCUUCUAGGUGAGUUGCCAGCAAUUAUCCAAAAAUCGUCCCGUGGUUUAGUAAUAAAAAGACCCAUCUUUUGCUGACACCAUUCUGUCUUUUUGAUGUUUUAUAAAUAUCCAAGGAACUUCACUCACAUUUAAGUUUGACAGGCUAAACUGUCAUUUUAAAUUAUGCAGGCAGAGUAUGUUGAGAUAUCAGGACCCACACCCACGGGCAUACAUCAAAACUGUCACUAUGUAUUACGCCCUUUAAAAAUGCUGGCUUUCAAAUGGCAGCAAUGUGUGCUGUCACUUUUCUCUUUAGAAAGAUUCCUCCGAUACAGCAAUAACAAUGUGAGAAGACCAAAUCUGCCCUAAUGAGGUAGGCUGAAAAUGAACUCUGAGAGCGAAUUCUGUUUAGAGAUCAUUUUAAUCUAGCAGCCUGCCACCUCGCUUAGCUUCCUGUGAUAGCUUGCCAGUCAGUUUCACAACACAAGACCUUCUGAAGACAUAGCUCUGAUGUUUUCACUCUCUUGCUCCAAACCCCGGGCAUGGAGGCUAAACCUGCUGUGCAGCAUGCUGGCUCGUCUUUCGCGCCCCUCCACCUCCGCCAGUCAAAGCAAACCGCAGCAUGGAAUUUGAGCAUUAUUUGCGUCAUUCGGCCAGCGGGGAGAAUGUGACUGACGCCCGGUCCUGUGGCUAUGCUGUUCCUGUUGCCUGGAUUUUAGUGUCCAUGCAUCUCUGCCUAUUGACACCCUGCCAGUCCUUCAAAAGCCACCUUCACCAUGGAGCCUCCCCAGGACUCCUCCUCUGUGUGGCCAUACUACAGGGCACAUUGCCUGGCAAGGGGUCUGUGUGUAUAGGUCACCUGUUACAGUGUGAACUACUUGGAUGCAGACACUGAUUCCUUCCCCUCUCCAUGGAGCCCAGCAGGCGCUCUGCACACAGCAGCCACUGAAUCCAGAUGGCGUUGCUGAAUUUAAUUGUAUUUCAGAGGGGAUAGGAUGUUACCCUAGUUAGCAGCUUAGCUAUGGUUCCUUUUUG
rnacentral:lncRNA from 1 species